UACGUAGGGGGCGAGCGUUGUCCGGAUUUACUGGGCGUAAAGCGCACGCAGGCGGUCUGCUAAGUUUGGAGUGACAGUUGGUGGCUUAACUGCCAAAGUGCUUCGAAAACUGACAGACUUGAGGGCUUCAGAGGGACACGGAAUUCCGGGUGGAGUGGUGAAAUGCGUAGAGAUCCGGAGGAACACCAAAGGCGAAGGCAGUGUCCUGGGGAGUACCUGACGCUCAGGUGCGAAAGCCAGGGGAGCUAACGGG
rnacentral:rRNA from 1 species